GGCUUUGUGCAGUGGUAGUAUCGUAGCCAAUGAGGUUUAUCCGAGGGGUGAUUAUUGCUAACUGAAAACUUUUCCCAGACAU
rnacentral:snRNA from 1 species